CCUGUGACUCCUACGGGGAGGCAGCAGUGGGGAAUAUUGCACAAUGGGGGAAACCCUGAUGCAGCCAUGCCGCGUGUGUGAAGAAGGCCUUCGGGGUUGUAAAGCACUUUCAGUAGGGAGGAAGGUAGUGUAGUUAACACCUGCAUUAUUUGACGUUACCUACAGAAGAAGCACCGGCUAACUCCGUGCCAGCAGCCGCGGUAAUACGGAGGGUGCGAGCGUUAAUCGGAAUUACUGGGCGUAAAGCGCAUGCAGGCGGCCUGUUAAGUCAGAUGUGAAAGCCCGGGGCUUAACCUCGGAAUUGCAUUUGAAACUGGCAGGCUAGAGUCUUGUAGAGGGGGGUAGGAAUUUCAGGUGUAGCGGUGAAAUGCGUAGAGAUCUGAAGGAAUACCAGUGGCGAAGGCGGCCCCCUGGACAAAGACUGACGCUCAGAUGCGAAAGCGUGGGGAGCAAACAGGAUUAGAUACCCUGGUAG
rnacentral:rRNA from 1 species